CCUACGGGAGGCAGCAGUGAGGAAUAUUGGUCAAUGGGCGUAAGCCUGAACCAGCCAAGUCGCGUGAGGGAUGAAGGCCCUAUGGAUCGUAAACCUCUUUUAUAAGGGAAUAAAGUGUGGGACGUGUCCUGUUUUGUAUGUACCUUAUGAAUAAGGAUAGGCUAACUCCGGGCCAGCAGCCGCGGUAAUACGGAGGAUCCGAGGGUUAUCCGGAUUUAUUGGGUUUAAAGGGUGAGUAGGCGGGGUUUUAAGUCCGCGGGGAAAGUCUGUGGGUUAACCAUAGAAUUGCCGUUGAAACUGGGAGGCUUGAGUGUGUUUGAGGCAGGCGGAAUGCGUGGUGUAGCGGUGAAAUGCUUAGAUAUCACGCAGAACCCCGAUUGCGAAGGCAGCCUGCCAGGGCAUGACUGACGCUGAUGCACGAAAGCGUGGGGAUCAAACAGGAUUAGAUACCCGAGUAGUC
rnacentral:rRNA from 1 species